ensembl:lncRNA
UUCCCUAUAUAGUGCACUACUUUAGACCAGAUCCCUAUGGCCCCUGGCACCCUAUUCCCUAUAUAGUGCACUACUUUAGAUCAGAACCCUAUGGGCCCUGGCACCCUAUUCUCUAUGCAGGUCCUGGUCCAAAGUAGUGCACUAUAAAGGGAAUAGGGUGCCAAUCGAGACAUGACCAAAAUGAAGGAAGCUUCGUAAUGACGUGUUUCUAACAGAACAGAAUCUUUUAUGCAACGAAUAUAAAAAAAUAUAUUUAAACACCUUAUUUAGGUUCAAUAACAUUUUAAUAAUUUAUUAAAUGACUUGUGCACUCAUAGCAGGUAAUUUACAUAUCAGUAGUUAAAAUCGCAAUAACACUUUGUACUGUAUAAAUCAUUGCUUUUAGUUUAAAAGACAUAGGAUGUAUCUCAAACGGCAUCCUAUUCCCUACAUAGUGCACUACUGUUGACCUGGGCCCUAUCGGGCCCAUAACCAUAGCUCUGGUCCAGGGCAUUAUAUAUAUAUAUGUCUUCAUGGAAGGACGUGUGGUAACACCGUGGACCAGAGCUAUCCAAUACGUAGCUCUGGUCCAGGGCAUUAUAUAUAUGUCUUCAUGGAAGGACGUGUGGUAACACCGUGGACCAGAGCUAUCCAAUACAUAGCUCUGGUCCAGGGCAUUAUAUAUAUAUAUAUGUCUUCAUGGAGGGACGUGUGGUACCACCGUGGACCAGAGCUAUCCAAUACAUAGCUCUGGUCCAGGGCAUUAUAUAUAUAUAUAUAUGUCUUCAUGGAGGGACGUGUGGUAACACCGUGGACCAGAGCUAUCCAAUACAUAGCUCUGGUCCAGGGCAUUAUAUAUAUAUAUGUCUUCAUGGAGGGACGUGUGGUAACACCGUGGACCAGAGCUAUCCAAUACAUCGCUUCAUUCUGGUAUGGAAUAAGAUACAGUUAUAGAAGUGUAGAGACAAAAAAAUAUAUAAUACAUAUAUUUUAUUUUUUCUCACAACCUUGAUAAGAAAAUACAAAUGUCAGUGUCAGUAGGACCAACGUAGGUGAUUUAUAUAAUUAAGCAUUGGGUUAAGGUUUUUAAGAAAUCAAAUAUAUAUAUAUAUAUAUAUAUAUAUAUAUAUAUAUAUAUAUAUAUAAAUUAUAUUUAUACAUAUUUCCGACUUCAUAAACGAAACAGACACAUCAACUCAUCCCCAUCGCAGGAAAACAUGUUGUGGUAUAAAUGGUUAACAAAUCCCAAAAGCUUCCAACUAAACCUUUUCUCAUUGGUCCCCCCCCCCAUAUCGCAUGUCAAUCAUCAUGAUGUCAUGAUCAACACAGUAUAUACGCUGACAUAUGGUACCACAUCGUUUGUUUUGAAAAGUUAUCCAAAGAUGUGAAUUCUACCCUCAGAAACGGUGCUUUUUCCACAUAUUGGACUAUACAGUAUAUUGGGAGUGUCUUCUAGCAUAGGAUCUGUAUCCCAGGUGGCACCCUAUCCCCUAUAUAGUGCACUAAAAGUAGUGCACUUUGUAGGGAAUAGGGUGCCAUUUGGGACUGUGACAUAGUCAUCGUCACACCACCUUUUGUGCACGUAGCCAAAACGCUUAUCAAAACAUAGGCUCUAAAAAAAAAAAAACACUACCUUUGGUCCCUUGAUUGGUUUACAAGUUAAAAAGAACAGAUCUGUCUCGAGCUUUGGCCAACUGUACUCUAAAAACAUUAUCAAAUGAGGAAGAACUAUCCCGUCUGCCUGAGUACCCUGAUGUCCUGAUGUUAAUAUUUUUUUUUUUAAAGAUAAACAUUUAAAUAAAUUCAUAAUCUGGCAGGACAAUUGAGGUAAAUCUAGAUCUGGCAUUAUGGAUUCUUUCUUCAACUGAAAGGCUCCUACGACUCACAGUUUCCACACAGCACCAUACACACUAGAUAAUCCACUGUUUCCACACAGCACCAUACACACUAGAUAAUCCACUGUUUCCACACAGCACCAUACAUACUAGAUAAUCCACUGUUUCCACACAGCACCAUACAUACUAGAUAAUCCACUGUUUCCACACAGCACCAUACAUACUAGAUAAUCCACUGUUUCCACACAGCACCAUACACACUAGAUAAUCCACUGUUUCCACACAGCACCAUACAUACUAGAUAAUCCACUGUUUCCACACAGCACCAUACAUACUAGAUAACCCACAGUUUCCACACAGCACCAUACAUACUAGAUAAUCCACUGUUUCCACACAGCACCAUACAUACUAGAUAAUCCCUGUUUCCACACAGCACCAUACAUACUAGAUAAUCCACUGUUUCCACACAGCACCAUACAUACUAGAUAAUCCCCUGUUUCCACACAGCACCAUACAUACUAGAUAAUCCCUGUUUCCACACAGCACCAUACAUACUAGAUAACCUACAGUUUCCACACAGCACCAUACACACUAGAUAAUCCCCUGUUUCCACACAGCACCAUACAUACUAGAUAAUCCCCUGUUUCCACACAGCACCAUACAUACUAGAUAAUCCCGUUUUUCCACACAGCACCAUACAUACUAGGUAAUCCACUGUUUCCACACAGCACCAUACAUACUAGAUAAUCCACUGUUUCCACACAGCCCCAUACAUACUAGAUAUGGUUUUUAUUUCAUCCAAUACCUAGGAGGACUAAUCUGGUAGAACAUGGUUCUAUAGGAGGACUAAUCUGGUAGAACAUGGUACUAUAGGAGGACUAAUCUGGUAGAACAUGGGGUCUGGUACUAUAGGAGGACUAAUCUGGUAGAACAUGGUACUAUAGGAGGACUAAUCUGGUAGAACAUUGUACUAUAGGAAGACUAAUCUGGUAGAACAUGGUUCUAAAGGAGGACUAAUCUGGUAGAACAUGGGGUCUGGUACUAUAGGAGGACUAAUCUGGUAGAACAUGGUACUAUAGGAGGACUAAUCUGGUAGAACAUGGUUCUAUAGGAGGACUAAUCUGGGUAGAACAUGGUACUAUAGGAGGACUAAUCUGGUAGAACAUGGUACAAUAGGAGGACUAAUCUGGUAGAACAUGGUACUAUAGGAGGACUAAUCUGGUAGACCAUGGGGUCUGGUUCUAUAAGAGGACUAAUCUGGGUAGAACAUGGUACAAUAGGAGGACUAAUCUGGGUAGAACAUGGUACGAUAGGAGGACUAAUCUGGUAGAACAUGGUACUAUAGGAGGACUAAUCUGGUAGAACAUGGGGUCUGGUACUAUAGGAGGACUAAUCUGGUAUAACAUGGUACUGUAGGAGGACUAAUCUGGUAGAACAUGGUACUAUAGGAGGACUAAUCUGGUAGGACAUGGUACUAUAGGAGGACUAAUCUGGUAGAACAUGGUACUAUAGGAAGACUAAUCUGGUAGAACAUGGUACUAUAGGAGGACUAAUCUGGUAGAACAUGGUACAAUAGGAGGACUAACCUGGUAGAACAUGGGGUCUGGAACUAAAGGAGGACUAAUCUGGUAGAACACUGUACAAUAGGAGGAAUAAUCUGGUAGAACAUGGUACUAUAGGAGGACUAAUCUGGUAGAACAUGGGGUCUGGUUCUAUAAGAGGACUAAUCUGGGUAGAACAUGGUACAAUAGGAGGACUAAUCUGGUAGAACAUGGUACUAUAGGAGGACUAACCUGGUAGAACAUGGUUCUAUAGGAGGACUAAUCUGGUAGAACACGGUACUAUAGGAGGACUAAUCUGGUAGAACAUGGUACUAUAGGAGGACUAAUCUGGUAGAACAUGGGUCUGGUAGAUGUUCAACCAGACCACCCUACACCAACCUAGUUCAGCUGGUAGAUGUUUAACCAGACCACCCUACACCAACCUAGUUCAGCUGGUAGAUGUUUAACCAGACCACCCUACACCAACCUAGUUCAGCUGGUAGAUGUUUAACCAGACCACCCUACACCAACCUAGUCCAGCUGGUAGAUGUUUAACCAGACCACCCUACACCAACCUAGUUCAGCUGGUAGAUGUUUAACCAGACCACCCUACACCAACCUAG